rnacentral:rRNA from 1 species
GACGAACGCUGGCGGCGUGCUUAACACAUGCAAGUCGAACGGAAAGGCCCUGCUUUUGUGGGGUGCUCGAGUGGCGAAGGGGGGAGUAACACGUGAGUAACCUGCCCUUGACUUUGGGAUAACUUCAGGAAACUGGGGCUAAUACCGGAUAGGAGCUCCUGCUGCAUGGUGGGGGUUGGAAAGUUUCGGCGGUUGGGGAUGGAUGCGCGGCUUAUGAGCUUGUUGGUGGGGUGGUGGCUUACCAAGGCUUUGACGGGUAGCCGGCUUGAGAGGGAGACCGGCCACCUAGGGAGGGAGAGACAGACCACCCACACUCGGGCGGGAGGAGGGAGUGAUAAUGAAUAGAGGGCGGACGAAUGACGGAGCCAGCCCGGGUGCGGGAGGGAGGCAGUCGGGAUGGAAGCAGCUCUCUCUUGUGCCGAAGGGUGAUUGCCGUAACUGGGGAAAAAACCACGGCUUACCCAGUG